rnacentral:rRNA from 1 species
AGAGUUUGACCCUGGCUCAGCGCGAACGCUUGCGGCGCGCCUAACACAUGCAAGUCAGGGGGCACCGCCCUUUUGGGCGGUGUAACCGGCAAACGGGUGAGUAACGCGUGGGUAACCUACCCCCGGGAGGGGGAUAACCCCCCGAAAGGGGGGCUAAUACCCCAUAACGAGCCCUCCCACUAAGGGAGGGCUCCAAAGGCCCGCCUCUGGCUCUGCCAAGCGGGCGCCCGGGGAUGGGCCCGCGUCCCAUCAGGUAGUUGGUGGGGUAAUGGCCCACCAAGCCUAUGACGGGUAGCUGGCCUGAGAGGGUGGCCAGCCACAGCGGGACUGAGACACGGCCCGCACCCCUACGGGGGGCAGCAGUGGGGAAUCGUGGGCAAUGGGCGAAAGCCUGACCCCGCGACGCCGCGUGGGGGAAGAAGCCCUUCGGGGUGUAAACCCCUGUCGGGCCGGACGAAGCGGCCGGGGGUUAAAAGCCCCCGGUCGUGACGGUACGGCCAGAGGAAGGGACGGCUAACUACGUGCCAGCAGCCGCGGUAAUACGUAGGUCCCGAGCGUUGCGCGGAGUUACUGGGCGUAAAGCGUCCGCAGCCGGCCCCGCAAGCGGGUUGUCAAAGCCCACGGCUCAACCGUGGAAUGGCAUCCCGAACUGCGGGGCUUGAGGCUUGCUCGGGCAGGCGGAAUUCCCGGUGUAGCGGUGAAAUGCGUAGAUAUCGGGAGGAACACCGGUGGGGAAGCCGGCCUGCUGGGGCUAGCCUGACGGUCAGGGACGAAAGCCGGGGGAGCAAACCGGAUUAGAUACCCGGGUAGUCCCGGCCGUAAACCAUGGGCGCUAGGCGUUGUCCCGUAAGGGGCAGUGCCGAAGCUAACGCGUUAAGCGCCCCGCCUGGGGAGUACGGCCGCAAGGCUGAAACUUAAAGGAAUUGGCGGGAGAGCACUGCAACGGGAGGAGCGUGCGGUUUAAUUGGAUUCAACGCCGGAAAACUCACCAUAGCCGACGGACAUAUGAAGGCCAGCGUAAUGAGCUUGCUGGAUUGUUCGAGAGGUAGUGCAUGGCCGUCGUCAGUUCGUACCGCAAGGCGUUCUGUUAAGUCAGAUAACGAACGAGACCCUCAUCCCUAUUUGCUAACCCGAUCUCCGGAUCAGGCGCACUAUAGGGAGACCGCUGGCGCGAAGUCAGAGGAAGGCGAGGGCAACGGUAGGUCAGUAUGCUCCGAAUGCUAUGGGCUACACGCGCAAUACAAAGGACGGGACAAUGGGCUGCUGCUCCGAAAGGAACGAUGGCUAUCCCGAAACCCGUUCGUAGUUCGGAUUGAGGGCUGUAACUCGCCCUCAU